rnacentral:rRNA from 1 species
AACGAACGCUGGCGGCGUGCCUAAUACAUGCAAGUCGAACGAGAAAGUGCCUUCGGGCAUUAGUAAAGUGGCAGACGGGUGAGUAAUACAUAGGUAACCUACCUCCAAGAUGGGGACAACCUUCCGAAAGGAGGGCUAAUACCGAAUGAGACCACAGUCACUCAGGUGACAGAGGUCAAAGGUGGCCUCUACUUGUAAGCUAUCGCUUGGAGAUGGGCUUAUGCACCAUUAGCUUGUUGGUGAGGUAACGGCUCACCAAGGCUGUGAUGGUUAGCUGAUCUGAGAGGUUGAUCAGCCACACUGGAACUGAGACACGGUCCAGACUCC